rnacentral:rRNA from 1 species
UGCAGUCGUACGCUUCUUUUUCCACCGGAGCUUGCUCCACCGGAAAAAGAGGAGUGGCGAACGGGUGAGUAACACGUGGGUAACCUGCCCAUCAGAAGGGGAUAACACUUGGAAACAGGUGCUAAUACCGUAUAACAAUCGAAACCGCAUGGUUUUGAUUUGAAAGGCGCUUUCGGGUGUCGCUGAUGGAUGGACCCGCGGUGCAUUAGCUAGUUGGUGAGGUAACGGCUCACCAAGGCCACGAUGCAUAGCCGACCUGAGAGGGUGAUCGGCCACAUUGGGACUGAGACACGGCCCAAACUCCUACGGGAGGCAGCAGUAGGGAAUCUUCGGCAAUGGACGAAAGUCUGACCGAGCAACGCCGCGUGAGUGAAGAAGGUUUUCGGAUCGUAAAACUCUGUUGUUAGAGAAGAACAAGGAUGAGAGUAACUGUUCAUCCCUUGACGGUAUCUAACCAGAAAGCCACGGCUAACUACGUG